rnacentral:lncRNA from 1 species
UAGUCUUACCGAAACGAAGGGUUCCAUAGACAGACGUAAAUCCAUGGUGCUUUAUAACAUGCUUCAUGAUCAAAUACAAACAAAACGGACAAGAGGAAUAAUAAUAAUAAUAAUGGUACACACCACACUACACCAAUAAAUGUAUGUAUAUAAUAGUGAUAUAUAUAUGUAUAUAUAUAUUUGAGAGCGUGUGUAUAUUUAUGUAUAUUUAUACAUACACACACAAGGGUAGAUAUGUGAGGAAGCGUGUAUUUAAUUGUGUAUGUUAUGUGUGUAUAAAUAUAUAUAUGUAUAUAUAUAUAUAUAUAUUUGAGAGCGUGUGUAUAUUUAUGUAUAUUUAUACAUACACACACAAGGGUAGAUAUGUGAGGAAGCGUGUAUUUAAUUGUGUAUGUUAUGUGUGUAUAGAUAUAGAUAGGUGUAUAUGCGUGUGUGUGAUGUUUUCUCUUGUUCUAUACUCACAUCAUAAACAUAUAUACACGCUGUUGUUGUUGUUGUUGUUAUUUGUGUAGUUGUACUACAUAAACAGUUGUUAUUGUUGUUGUAGGUCUGUGGUGGUUGUGGAGUCGGUGUUCCGUGUUGUUGUUGUUGCUGCUGCUGCUGCUGUUGAUGAUGGUGGUGGUGGUGUUGUGACGAUAGUGUUCAGGGUGCUGAUGGUGGUAGUGGUAGUGGUGGUGGUGGUGGUGAUGUUUACGUUAGUAGUGAUGCUUGUUGGUGUUGUAGUUGUUGUUGGUGGUGGUGGUGGUGAAGUCUGAAAGUGAUGGAGGUUACGAUUAAGUGAUGAAGGGUUAAUGUUGGAGGUGGUGGUGGUAUUGUGUUCUGUCGUGUGCAGGGUAAUCGUGUGUAUUCAGGUAGAGAAGAUGAUGUUACUGGUCAUGAUGAUGAUGAUGAUGGGGAUGAUGUUGUUGUUGUUAGUGGUGGCAGCGAUGGUGUACAAGAACAGGGUGGGGUUGACUAUUUUCCAAUCUCACAAACAGCCAACCCUCUUUUUAAUAACUAACUUGAAAACAAAAACAACGAAAGCCGUAUACCAAACGAAGAGAAAAGGCAAGGGUAAAAUAAAUACAUAGAUAGAUAGAUAGAUAGAUAGAUAGAUAGAUAGAUAGAUAGAUAGAUAGAUAGAUAGAUAGAUAGAUAGAUAGACAGAUAGAUAGAUUAACAGGAAGGCGAAUGGAUAGACACGGUGGUUGACAGACCAACAGAAAGGUGGUUGGUUAUUAAGGUAAGGUCCGUGUCGAUAGGACAGACGUGUUAAACAGUUUAAAUAGACGUAAAUAGGUAAAAUAGGUAAGAUGGCUUGGUGGUUCUAUUGCGGGUCGAUAUGAUAGGUAGAUAGAUAGAUAGGUAGAUAGGUAGAUAGGUAGAUAGAUAGAUAGAUAGAUGGAUGGAUGGAUGGUCCGAAUGGUCGACAGACUAACAGACAGACGGAUAAAUACACGGGUUAUUUAUAUAUAUACUUCUAUAUACACAAUAGUUAGUAGUCGAAUAUGAACGAGUGUUUAUAGGGUACACAUACCUCCAUACACAACACACACACACACACAUAUAUAUAUAUACUAUAUAUAUAUUAUAUACACACGAUAUAAUAGGCGUAUGUUGCUAUUUGUUUAUUUCUGUGUAUGCAUGUGUAUGUGUGUGUGUAUUUGAUUAAGUAUGCGUUAAUUGUUUAGCAUAGUAUUAAUAGUAUGUAUGUAUGUAUAUAUUUAUAUAUAGUUUAUAUGGUAGGGUUUUGGCGUGUGUGUGUAUGUGUGUGGUUAGUUAUAUAGUAUAGUACAUGGUGUGUGUGUGGGUAGUGUUGCGGUGUGGUUAGUUAUAUAGUAUAGUACAUGGUGUGUGUGUGUGGUAGUGUUGCGGUGUGGUUAGUUAUAUAGUAUAGUACAUGGUGUGUGUGUGGUAGUGUUGCGGUAUGGUAGGGUUUUGGCGUGUGUGUGUUUGUGUGGUUAGUUAUAUAGUAUAGUACAUGGUGUGUGUGUGGUAGUGUUGCGGUAUGGUAGGGUUUUGGCGUGUGUGUGUUUGUGUGGUUAGUUAUAUAGUAUAGUACAUGGUGUGUGUGUGUGGUUGUAGUGUUGCGGUGUGGUUGUAGUGUGUGUAAAGAAAAGAAACACACAGGGGGAAAAAAACAACAAUAUGUAGUAGUAAUAAUAAUGAUGAUGAUAAUAAUAAUAAUAAUAUAAUAAUGAUAAUAAAAAAAAAACUAACGUUCGUAUGACUUCCCUGUCACACAAGGCAUGCCGCUUUUUCAGCAAGCGCCAGCAUCGCCGUGUAAGCCGGCACUGUCAGACUUUCUCCCUCUCUCCCUCUAACUCACACCAACUCCC